CUGGCAAAAUGCCAGAGGGAGUGGUUUGAGAAGUAACAAAAGCGAGCCAUUAAGUGUGGAGAUUCCUGAUUGGUUGACUGAUGUAUCUAGUUUAUGCUAAUUAGAUAAGCUGUGUGGAAUGUAUAAAUACUGCUCCUGUCCUGCAAUAAAUGGCUCCCACUCCUGCUGUAUCAACGUACACAAGUUAUUCGUCACCCCCCUGAUUAUUCUGCUGCAGCCGGACUCCGGCAGAUGGUGGCCCGUACAGGGAGCCCCGGGACACUUGGGGGUAAGUGACGAAAAAAAGCUGCCCGUCCAUAGAUAGGACGGGAGCAAAUCUGCUUGUCCCUAGGCAGAUAGGGCGAGAGGAAAAAUGACCAUUUCGAGAAAAUGGAGAAGAUUGAUACAGUAUGUUUGUGUCUUGUUUUGUCUCAGUGUAUUGUAUUGUUUUUGUGAUGAAAAUAUGGAAGGGGUGAGAAGUAAAUUGAUAAGGGAAAGAGGCACCCCAGUGGAACCAAGAAUAGUUAGGGCAUGUGUUGAUAAGAGCCCAGGAACUCUAGUCAGAAAGAAAAAGAAAGUUCAGAAGAAGAAGGAUUAUCAGGAAAAAAGUUGCAGCAAAAGGCUAUUACUGAAUACUUUUCGUUACCGGAGGGUGUGUGAAUCGGCACCGCGGCUGCCACAUGCGCGAGCUGGUCAUGGCGCAGCAAGGGCUUUCCAAGCGGCGGCAAUCGGCUCUUCCCUGCCCCCCGCCCGGGGAGCGGGAUGCCACUGCGAGAGCCCAAAUCCAAACCUGUGCCCGGAAGCAGUUUGAGACCAGGACUCUCCCCAGGGCCAUCUGGGGCUGCCCGGGAUGCUACAGCCAGCAGAAGACGCUACCAGCGUCCCUGAUGUUUGGUCAUUUUCAAUGCCAAUAACUAAGCUACAAUGGUUCUCCCACACCUGGAAGCUGAUGAGUAAUGAGCACUAUUAAUGCUUAUUUCAAAUGCAAA
rnacentral:lncRNA from 1 species